CCCUUAGAUGUUCUGGGCUGCACACGCGCUACACUGAAGGGAUCAGCGUGUUCUUUUCCUGGUCCGAAAGGAUCGGGUAACCCGCUGAACCCCCCUCGUGGUAGGGAUCGGAGCUUGCAAUUAUUCUCCGUGAACCAGGAAUUCCCAGUAAGCGCAAGUCAUAAGCUUGCGUUGAUUACGUCCCUGCCCUUUGUACACACCGCCCGUCGCACCUACCGAUUGAAUGGUCCGGUGAAAUCUCGGGACGGCGGCUUGGUCGCUUGCGUCCGACUGCUGAAACUUGAUUAAACCAUAUCAUUUAGAGGAAGGUGAAGUCGUAACA
rnacentral:rRNA from 1 species